rfam:Mycobacterium chubuense NBB4, complete genome.
GGGAUAGCUCCGUGUUGCCGUCUGACCCCCCGACCCGACGGCAACACGGGGCUCUUAU